rnacentral:rRNA from 1 species
GACGAACGCUGGCGGCGUGCUUAACACAUGCAAGUCGAGCGGAAAGGCCCUUUCGGGGGUACUCGAACGGCGAACGGGUGAGUAACACGUGAGUAAUCUGCCCCUGGCUUUGGGAUAGCCACCGGAAACGGUGAUUAAUACCGGAUACGACCACUUCUCGCAUGGGAUGGUGGUGGAAAGUUUUUCGGCCAGGGAUGUGCUCGCGGCCUAUCAGCUUGAUGGUGAGGUAAUGGCUCACCAUGGCUUCGACGGGUAGCCGGCCUGAGAGGGUGACCGGUCACACUGGGACUGAGACACGGCCCAGACUCCGACGGGAGGCAGCAGUGGGGAAUAUUGGACAAUGGGCGGAAGCCUGAUUCAGCAACGCCGCGUGAGGGAUGACGGCCUUCGGGUUGUAAACCUCUUUCAGCAGGGACGAAGCGCAAGUGACGGUACCUGCAGAAGAAGCACCGGCCAACUACGUGCCAGCCGCCGCAGUAA